rnacentral:rRNA from 1 species
CAGGACUUGACAUCCCUCUGACCGGCGUGUAACGGCGCCCUCCCUUCGGGGCAGAGGAGACAGGUGGUGCAUGGUUGUCGUCAGCUCGUGUCGUGAGAUGUUGGGUUAAGUCCCGCAACGAGCGCAACCCUUGUCAUUAGUUGCCAGCAGGUUAAGCUGGGCAAUCUAGUGAGACUGCCGGGGACAACUCGGAGGAAGGUGGGGAUGACGUCAAAUCAUCAUGCCCCUUAUGUUCUGGGCUACACACGUGCUACAAUGGCCGGUACAGAGAGACGCAAUGUCGUGAGGCGGAGCAAAACUCUAAAACCGGUCCCAGUUCGGAUUGCAGGCUGAAACUCGCCUGCAUGAAGUCGGAGUUGCUAGUAAUCGCGAAUCAGAAUGUCGCGGUGAAUGCGUUCCC